AUUAAAUAGAAAUUGGUGAUGAUGGUACGGACGUCGCGGUACGUCAUUUCACUGAAAUUGCGAAUCUGUCACCGUUGUCCCCACACGCCUUUUAAUCU